rnacentral:snRNA from 1 species
CAAACUUUAAAUAGGUAG